CUGGCUCAGGACGAACGCUGGCGGCGUGCCUAAUACAUGCAAGUCGAGCGGAGUUUAUCGGGAGCUUGCUCCUGAUAAACUUAGCGGCGGACGGGUGAGUAACACGUAGGCAACCUGCCCGUAAGACUGGGAUAACUACCGGAAACGGUAGCUAAUACCGGAUACGCAAGUCUCUCGCAUGAGG
rnacentral:rRNA from 1 species